GACAGAGGUGCCGAGCGUUAGGCGGAAUCACUGGGCUUAAAGCGUGUGUAGGCGGGUCCGUAAGUACCUUGUGAAAUCCCACGGCUCAACCGUGGAACUGCUUGGUAUACUGCGGGUCUUGAGCCACCUAGGGGCAAGCGGAACAAGCGGUGGAGCGGUGAAAUGCGUAGAUAUCGCUUGGAACGCCAGUGGCGAAGGCGACUUCCUGGCCUGUUCUUGACGCUGAGGCGCGAAAGCUAGGGUAGCAAACGGG
rnacentral:rRNA from 1 species